rnacentral:lncRNA from 1 species
UUUUUCUAACCUAAGUAAUCCUCUAAAACAUUAGUUUCCCUAAAGUCCAGAAAUGACCUAAUUUGGCUUUUUUGGAAUAAAAAUUAUACAGGAAGCAUUUGUCAAAUAUGAAAUGGUAUUUGGUUUUCUGUGUUUGGUUUUAUUUGGGCUGUAUUUGUACAAAUAUGUUAUUGGCAUGUGUUCCAAAAUUAUGGGAAACUCCUGUAAUUCUGAUAUAACCUAGUGUACAUUAUCAGUAAUAAUCAUAAUUGUUAUGUUAAAAUCAUUGGGUGCAGAAGAGGUAACAAAUAUCCUUGUCAGUUGUAUCUAUUAAAUAUGACUGCCUUAAAACAUUUUUUUCAUCCAUGGUCCAUUUUCUUGUUUUGGUCCUCAUUAGAAGGGGGUUUAAUAAUCAGCUUUAAAACUCAAACAGGUGCUCUUCAAUGCAGGUUUCUGAUAACUUUGGAGAUUGUGACAUCAGAAUAGAGGAAUAACUUUCAGGACCCCUGAAGAGUAAAAUAUUCAUGAUUAUCAAGCAGAACAGGCAUGAACUGCAUGGACUGAACAAAUCUUUUUGACUUUUUGCUUAAAAUGUUUGCUGAUCCUUCGUUUUGUUUUUCAGAGUCUUAAAACUUUUCUUUCAAGCUAAUGACAGCCUUUAACAGUUUAGUAUACUCCUAUGAACAAAAUAUGGAGCAUAUUUGUUUCUUUCUACUGAGUUCUCCAGAAUUUGGAAACUAUCUAGCAAAGGAACCAAGUAAGACAGUGGUUCUCAACCAGGGUAAUUUUCUCACGAACAGGACAUUUGACAAUAUCUGGAGACAUUGUCCUCACUGGGAAGGGGUCCUACUGGCAUUUAAUGGAUAAAACCCAGGCAUGCUGUUGUUGAACAUCCUCCAAUGCACAGGAAUGCACCCCAAAACAGAGGUUAUCCAGCCCCAAAUUCAAUCAUGCUGAAGUUGAAAAACUCUGCUCAAGGGAAACUCUAACUCUAGCCAAAAAGGAACACUGAUUAAUGAAACAAAAGUGAGAAGACUUCUUAAUGGGUUUUGAAAUGAAAAUUGUGAAUAAAAUAAACAAUUAUACUUACUAAGAUCUACUAUCUAAAGAUGUGAAGUCUGUCUAUCAAAUAACCAGCAUAAACUUUUAGUAGGUAAAUUUUAAAUGUUGAGGUCAUCGGAGUGAUUCCCUGGCAGAUCACACUGAAAGAUGGCUGGAGAGGAUUUAAGGUUGUAAUUCUGACCUUGCAAUUGAGAAAUAUCUCAGUGAGGUGGAAAAUGGAAACCAGCAUGAUUGCAUUAAAAAAAUUUUCAAAGAGCCCAAAUGAGCAAGGAAAUAUAGAGAUCUUAUGAAAAAGGACAUAGUGAUAAAUCAUAAUGAUCCUGUCAGCAAAAUUAAAGUGGCUUUGCAGAAAGUACUACAGAAAUGAGAGUUCCACAAGGAUUCUAUUGUUUUAAUGCUGUUGUUGAUAGAUAUUAGCUUAAGCUAGUCAAUCCCUACAUUUUCUGAUUUCUUUGCAGAAAGUACUACAGAAAUGAGAGUUCCACAAG